UGUGUGUCUUAGGAAGCAGAGUAGUGGGCCUCUCCCAUGUCCUAGGAGAGCGGAGAGAACCUUGCUCUCAGGCAGGCUGCUUAGCUGAGGCCUGGAGAUGGCAGCUUGGUCUUCAGGAAAGUCCUGGGGGAGGGGUGGGGAACAGGUGCAGUUGUGCCAGGGGAGCGUGUUAUUAGGGGGAGAUCAGGAGUAAAGCUGUGUUUCUCUUUGUACAGAAUACAGUAAUUUUGAGGGCAGAAAAUGAGAGGGGGCAGCUCUAUCUUGUGUACCACAAGCAGCCGCAAGGCAGGUUUUCAGUGUGGUGUAGGCAGGUCUGAACCACUGUGCCUGUCCCAGGUGGCACAGUAAUAAACGCCAGAAUCACUUUCAGUUAUAUUUUGCACUAUCAAUUUCGAGCUCCUCAUGAUUGCAUAGCUAUCCAACUUCCCUGGACUGACUCCUGAAUCCAACAUAACCCUGGAGUUGUAGGUGUCACAGUACAGAAGACGCUGUGGGGACUUCCCCUCCUGGUGGAGGUACCAAUGGAUGUGUCUGGUAUUUCUCCAGGAAGAUCACAAGUGAUUACAGCAGAUGACCCAGUUGUCCCAGUGACUGACUUCAUUCUCCCUUCCAAGUUGGAAGAUUUCUGACUUUCUGCAAUGGGAACAACACAAAACAUAAUGAGGCAUUCCUUAGUAUGGCACCCCUUGCAAAAGAAGAAAACAAAACCCGUGAGCCUCUCUGUAGGCAGCACACUCACCAGGAGGCAGGAAAGCUAGAAGCAGGGCUAGUGCCCACCCAUGCCUUCCUCUCCUGGGACUUGGAAGGAAAGGGGCCAGGGAAGUGAUCCCUAGCACAGUGAGGGGAACUGGUCUUCCUGAGUCACAGGCCAAGGGAAUUGAUUGAGGAUGUGUCUUAGGGGACUCCCAGCCUUCCUCCCAGAAGGGGUGCUGCCUGGGAGGACCUGCAGAGGAGCUCCUGCCUCUCUGCUCAGGCCCGUUCUCCCGCGCCCUCCUGUGGCAGCUGAGAGCAGGACCACUGCAGAAGAGAGCCAGGGGCAAGGAGAGCUGAGGCCUGCAGCAGAGGGAGUGCAGAUGUGAGGGAAGCUGACCCUGAAGCCUGCUGGCCAGGGCCCUUGGGAGGGAGCAUUCCCACAGUGGGCUCACACCCUGCCCUUCAGAGUUUCAGCAGGUAAGGCUGCUGCCAGGGUCUCAUCCUGGCAGAAGCUUCUGAUUAGGGUCUUGAAUCACCUUCUUUUCAUAUUUGCAAGUCCCUUUGAGGCAAUACCCAGGGCCCUCUGAGAAGGCUUGAACCUGCUUAAUUAACCAGACUGAGGGUUAGGCAUGCUGGUUUGUCUUGGUCUCUACUCAAAGGUAAGAGUCCAGUGGUUUUGUUAGGGUUGGCAUGUGAUCCAUUUGUUCAAGGAUUUCUAUUUGUCCUCAAAUAAAAGGUCCCCUCAAGUCGAAAUUUGACAUUGCAAGGAAGAUAGUUCAAGGUGCAGUGCCUUGCAAUCCUUGAAACAUACUUUAAAUGAAACUUAUUUAUCAUUUAUCUGAAAUUCAAAUUUACCUGGGCAUCAGAUAUUUGGCAACCCUAGCCUCUGAAAGCAAACCGAUGUCUGCUAUUUUCCUGGAUUGAAAGACGGCUUAAUAGCUGGUGAAACAAGUAAAGUAAAAGGAUCUUAAAAUAAAGUCAUGCUUUUCUGCUCUUGUGUCAGUGUGCUGAGAAUGAUGGUUUCCAGGUUCACCCGUGUCCCUACAAAGGACACGAACUCAUCGUUUUUGAUGGCUGCAUAAUAUUCCAUGUUGUAUAUGUGCCACAUUUUCCCUGUCCCAUCUAUCAUCAAUGGGCAUUUGGGUUGGUUCCAGGUCUUUGCUAUUGUAAACAGUGCUGCAAUGAACAUUCGUGUGUACGUGUCCUUAUAGUAGAACGAUUUAUAAUCGUUUGGAUAUAUACCCAGUAAUGGGAUUGCUAGGUCCAAUGGAAUUUUUAUUUCUAGGUCUUUGAGGAAUCGGUUCUCACUCAUAGGCGGGUGUUGAACAAUGAGAACACAUGGACACAGGGAGGGGAGCGCUAC
ensembl:lincRNA